AUGUUUCGGCCUGCAUCAAACUUCGAUAAAUUACUUGACAAAGCGACAAGUCAUUUACUUCUUGAACCAGAUUGGCCGUCCAUUUUACAAAUUUGCGAUCUUGUACGCCAAGGAGAUGCUCAGCCCAAGUAUGUACUUGCAGCAAUAAAAAAAAAAAUAGUGCAUCCAAAUCCGCACAUAGCUCUCUUGGGGUUAUUGGUUUUAGAAUCCUGUGUCAAGAAUUGCGGUAGUUUAAUUCACGAUGAGAUUGGUACGAAACAGUAUAUGGAACAACUCUGGGAUAAUGUAAAGAAUACACAACACGAAGAAGUUAAAAUCAAAAUCUUAGACUUGAUUCAAGCAUGGGCCUACGCAUUCCGGAAAAGCCCUAAGUACAGAGCCGUUCAGGAUACAGUAAAUAUUAUGAAAACCGAAGGUCAUAAGUUUCCAGCAUUAAAGGAAAGCGACGCCAUGUUUAGUGCAGAUACUGCUCCUGAGUGGGCUGACGGAACUAUGUGCCAUCGUUGUCGCGUGACCUUUAGUAUCGUCCAACGGAAACAUCACUGCCGAGCAUGUGGACAGGUUUUCUGUCAACAAUGUUCUAGCAAAGUUUCUACACUACCGAAAUUUGGUUUUGAGAAAGAGGUUAGAGUUUGCGAAUCAUGCUACGAACAAUUCAACAAGCCAGCUACUUCGUUGAGUAAAGAAACAGAGCUUCCUGCUGAAUAUUUGAGUAGCUCUCUAGCUCAACAGCAACAAGUUCCUCCGAGAAAAACUGAAGAGGAGCUUCGUGAGGAAGAAGAACUUCAAUUGGCCCUUGCAUUAAGUCAGAGUGAAGCUGAGCAAAAGGAAAAAGAUCAAAAACGCUCUAAAGCAAAUUCUGCACCAGUUGAGCGAGUGACGUAUCCACCACCUCCAUCUCCGGGUUUAAGUCCUGCAAGAGUUCCAGAUGAAGAACUGGAUCCAGAACUUGCAAAGUAUCUAAAUCGGCAGUAUUGGGAGCAAAGACAAUUAUCAGCUGAAGAACAUGGUUCUAGAAUAAACGUUACUAGUCCAUCUGCACCGAAUAUUAGCAGUCCCAUGCCUCAGAAGAUCAUCACUACUAAACAACAAAAUGGUGAAAUCGAUACAGAAAUGGAAAUGUUUGUUAAUGCUUUACAAUCGCAAGUGGAAAUUUUUGUUAAUCGAAUGAAAAGCAACUCUUCUCGGGGAAGAUCAAUUGCCAAUGAUAGUUCCGUGCAAACCUGGUUCAUGAAUAUUACGGCAAUGCAUUCAAAGUUACUGAGAUAUAUUCAAGAACAAGACGACAAACGAGUAUACUACGAAGGGCUACAGGAUAAAGUUGCUCAAAUUAAAGAGUCACGAGCUGCAUUGGACGCCUUGCGGGAAGAACACAGAGAAAAGCUAAAAAGCCAGGCUGAAGAAGCCGAAAGACAAAGACAACUUCAAAUGGCUCAUAAAUUAGAAAUCAUGCGGAAAAAGAAACAAGAUUACUUGCAGUAUCAACGACAGUUAGCACUUCAAAGGAUUCAAGAGCAAGAGCGUGAGAUGCAAAUGAGACAAGAACAGCAGAAGCAACAGUACAUCAUGGGAGGUUAUCAGUCAGUUUCAGGCUUUAUUGGACCAACAUCUCAAGGAUCUCCAGUGCGUCAUGUACAAUAUCAAAAUCCUGGAUGUAACUACAAUUCGAUAUCUCCAUCUAAUCCAGGCAUCUUCGUUUAUGGUCAAGCACCUAUGCCAGACUAUUCAAUUCAGAAUUAUAGAGCACCAGCAGUGGGUUCUAUUCCUCCACAAAUUAUGAGUCCGAUUGGCAAUCAAGAGCAGCAGCAGCAACCAAAAGAUUCUGCUGUUCAAGGACAGGAAAGCCUUGGUCAUGUUACGAUAUCCGGACCUGGCAUGAUCUCGCAAAUUGGUGGUACGCCUAUUCGUCAAAUCCUGCCACAAAACACGCCUCAUAUGAGACUUCCGAAUCAGCAGAGCCAUUCUGCUCACGUAGAAAUUUCACAAGGAAUUCAGAGUCACGGGCCACAGUCACAAGUAAUUCCGACUCAAGGACCACCAUCACAAGGAUUUCCCAAACACGUGGGUCAGCCUCCAGUGCAGCAAUCUGUUCAGCCACAGGGACUAUCAGGUCAGAUGGCUACUCAUAAAGUACCAGGUAGUCAAAUAGGAAAAGAAACUCAAUGUCCUCCUGGUGCAACGCCAACUUUGGCGCACAUUAAACCCGGGCAAGUAGGACUUUCUGCAUCAGUGCAGCCGCAAGCACCACCUCCUUCAUCGUCUAGAACCAUUCUCCAGCAGAGCACUUCUAACACUAGUAUUCCGUGUCAAGAUUCAGGGUCUAUUCAGAUGCCAGCACCUAAUUCUAAUAAUAUCUCUGCUCAAUCUUCUCAGCACAUUCCUAACUUGAAAGUUCAUGGAAUACACGUACUACAAGGAACGCCCCAAACGACGGCUUCAAACCAUCCAAUACAUUUUCAGUCUCCUAUUCAAUCUAAAUCUACAGAACAGCAACAACAGAAGCAAGAAUCUAAGCUCGAUACGGCAGAACUUAUUUCGUUUGAUUAAAAUUUCUGGAGAUAAUUAAUGAACUCAUAAACACAAGAGCGGUUGUAGAAUUCCUCAAGAUUCUGGAGCCAUACAUCGUAUGUGAUCAUCAAAUAUGAACUGAGCAGAUAAAAGCGGUAUUCUAUUAGUAGUGCUGCUGCUCAGUGGCUUGUGAAUUGUUAAAUGGAGACAUCUAGAAUCAUCCUUGUCACCUGCCACUUCGAUAUCUUGUAAAAAACCAACAAACUUUGCUACGCCCCAUCCUAACUUUUUUGUAUCAGGUUCAACUAGGAUUAACUGAAUGAUAUCAAUAACCAGAAAUCUUCGAACUUUCUGACCAUCUUUCCAUACUAUCGUACAUGCGAUAAGAUCACUAUUAUCUACAAUUAAAGAGUGUUUAUUAAAUAUUUUGAUAUACAUUUAUAACAUUUCCUGUAGUAUUUGCAAAAUAUAUUCUCAGUAACU